UACGUAGGGGGCAAGCGUUGUCCGGAAUCAUUGGGCGUAAAGAGCGCGUAGGCGGUCCGGUAAGUCCGCUCUGAAAGCCCGGGGCUCAACCCCGGGAGGCGGGCGGAUACUGUCGGGCUAGAGUCCGGAAGAGGCGAGUGGAAUUCCUGGUGUAGCGGUGAAAUGCGCAGAUAUCAGGAGGAACACCGAUGGCGAAGGCAGCUCGCUGGGACGGUACUGACGCUGAGGCGCGAAAGUGUGGGGAGCGAACAGG
rnacentral:rRNA from 1 species